GUGUAGUUUAAGAAAGAGGAUAAAUGUUGCAAAAGAGCUGAUAACUUUCUUUCUUAUGUAGAUUAUUAGGAGAUGUGAAGGAAGUUUAAGUGGAUGAGUUAUAUCCUAUCCAUGAUACCUGGUGUAUAACUACCUUGCAAUUAUCCGUCACCGCGAGUGGCGCACAUCAGCCGCCAUCAAGGUCCUGUUGUGAUGGUUAUAUACCUCCUCGAUUUCCGAUAAUUGUUCGCUUCUCAAGGUGACCCUCUACCUCGCAGGCAGAUUACCAUGGUUGACUGAAUUGACCGCUCGAUUCACCUGCAUCCCCUGCCUCGGCCUGAUUGACUGGAUACCAUCAAGCGCUGAAUUUCUUCGGGUGCCUUGUCACAGAUGAAUCUCCUCGAGCGUCUCGUCUCCCUCCCGCAGUAGAUCUCCUCAAAUAUUUGAAUAUCAUUCCAGUCUUAAAUUAUGUUCCUGGAGACAAACGCGGAAAACUGAGUAUUCUUCAGUACAAAAUAUUGCACCUGACAGGCAGAAUUGAGAGAACUUGAAUGGGGUAAGGACCUCUGCUACAUCGGCUAACACAACAACAAGGAUUUGCUCACACAGUAUUAUCCAAUGUUCUAGCCGUAUAUAACUGGGCAGGUUAGGUUAUUAAGAACAAUGUGAUUUAUUUAUGGUUGCAUAACAUCUAUUUGUGGUCCGUACUUUGAAAUAUGCUUCCAACAAUUGAGUAGAAGGAAUUCUUACUGAAGUUGCCAGCAUUUCCGUCAACUGUGGUAUUUGAUCCUUACUACAACCAGUGUUUUUUAGAUGUAUUUUUUAAUUAUUUUUCUCUUUCUCCCAUUUACAACGCAAAGAAGUUGCAGCUUUCUAUAGUCCAUGCGUAAAUCGUUGAUUGAUUAUAUGUUACUCUUUGGUUUUAGAAAAAAUAAAGCAUAAUGAUAUAAAUACUUUCCAAUAUUCGAGAUAUAGAAAUGUCAAUAUUAGAAUUCAUAGUGUGUCGUUUACCUAUCUAUAUAUAAUAAAUUAACUUGCGUUUUUAACUCCAAUGUUUAUGUGGAACAACUGGAUGUAUUUAAGACACCUCUUUGGUUACUCCAUACUUAUCCAGAUGACAGCAACAAGUGUUUGUUUCACAUUGCCUUUGGUUACUACAUACUUUAUCCGGAGAACUAAAGCAAGUGCUUUUUUGACGGGACUAUAUAGCAAGCCUUUGUUUUCAGGACAUUGCUUUGGUUGCUACUUCGUACAUGUUUAUCCAAAGGACAAUAGCAAGCCUUCCUUUUACCGAACUAUAGGAAGUCUUUGUUUCAUAGCAUCCCUCAUUGCUUUCCUUCACUCUACAACAA